CGGGCGUGUGUGCACACGAGCACGCACACACAUGAGCGCUCUUAUGUCCCGGUCAUUGUGCAAUGAGGGCUCCCUGUGGCUGAAUUCCCAUCCCUGAAUUCCUGGUGGUCUCUCCCUGUCCAGCCUCCACAUCUUUGCCUGGGUCUUGCCUCCUAUUUGGAUUUCCUUCCCCAGUCUCUUCAGUUGAAAUCCUACCUGCUUGGUAAAAUAAACGAAUGACGGAGUGAGCUUCGAGGCUGGAACUGUAGAAACAGGAUUUUACCAUGUCGGCCAGGAUGGUCUCCAUCUCUUGACCCCGCGAUUCGCCCGCCUUGGCCUCCCAAAGUGCUGGGAUCACAGGGCGUGAGCUACCGCGCCCGCUUGGCAGCCCUUUCUUUGGAAGGCUUACUGUCUACGAAGCACCACCGUGAGUGUGGCAGGUGAGGAGAUUCAUCGAGAUGAUGCCAAGGACCCCAGGUCACACAGCUGAUGGUGGCAGAGUGAGGGUUCAGCCCAGGCUGGGUCUUUCCUCUCUGCAGGCCGAAGGAAGUUCCUCCUUCUCCAUGCCACGGGUGCUUCUCCACGCCACGGGUCCCACUUGCUGGCCAGCAGUUCCCCAGCCUGCCUGCCCUCCUGUGUCUGGGGGCUGUGGCAAGCGGGGCCUCUGCUAAUGUGGAGUGAGCUGAGGCAUACCUUAGGGUCCCUGAUCAUUGUCUAUACUCUCUUGAUCCCUGUCAUGUUUGGGAAGACCCUGUGAUGGUGUAGUCCACUGUUUUCCUCCAGUUGCAGGGCACAGCCAUUGACAGACACAUCAGCACCUAUAUCUGAGGGAAUGAGUCUCAAGCCAAGAACUUUGAUGCGGGAGAGCAGCAGGUCCAGGUUGGGUCCUAGAGUGGCCACACUGGGAAUUCAGGCUUAUCGUCAGAAUAAGGAAAGGCCGUGCCUUGGGGAACAGAGAGAGGGAGGGAGCAAUGAUUAAUUAGUUCCCACUGUACACAGGGACUACGAGGAUUCAUUAUGGUGCCGUCUCAUUCCAUUCUCUCAACAACCUUGUAAGAAAGGUCUUGAUUUGAUCCCCAUUUUGCAGAAGAGGAAACGAGGCACAGGGGAAGUGAUUUUCCCAAGGCCACACAGCGAACAUGGCAGAUGUAGGGGUCAACCCAGGCCUGUGACAGCUUUCUGAUUUUGAUAGUGAUAGCUCCCUACACUGGGAACAUGGUUACCAAAGGGACUUAUCUUCAGGCAGAGCCAGAAGAGAGGUCUGGGGAGAGAAGGGUCAUUGUUCCCAUGAGUCAGGGGCCCUCAGCUCCAGGCCAGCAGCCGGUCUGGCCCUGGCAGCUCCUGCUGCCCACCUGGUAUGGCCAGAGGCCUGAAGGUGCUUCAGCGAGGUUAGUCAGCCCAGGUGAGUGGCAAGCAGGCACCCACCAGGAGGUCUGCCUCCACCUUCUGCACUUCUGAUGAGAAAACAACCUAAGUAGUGCAUCUGCCUCCGUCCUGAGCCUCCGCCCGGGGUGCAUUACUCACAGCCCCACCGGACCCAUCACCCCCUGGGAGGAGCUGCCAGUUCGGCUGGCCCCGUGGGCCAUGUGUCUACAGGGGUGUGUGGAGGAGGGGCUGGGCAGCACCUAACUGUUCAUAUCCCCUCACUAGACCUUAUGGGGGUCCAGGCAUUCAGGGACAUCAGGCUGGACCCGGGCACCUCCAGCCUUGUCUAUUAAACAGGAAUAAAGUUAUUUGGCUUCACUUUAAAAUUAAAAUUAUGUUCU